rnacentral:hammerhead_ribozyme from 1 species
AUCCAGCUGACGAAUCCCAAAUGGGACGAAACGUGUGUCCUGGAU